AUGGAGGCCACGGCGUUGAGCAUUGGCAAGUCUGUGCUGAAUGCAGCGCUUCGAUCCGCCAAAUCCCCGGUCGCGGAGGAGGUGGCCCUGCAGCUCGGGGUCCAGCGGGACAAGGCCUUCAUCACGGACGAGCUGGAGAUGAUGCAGUCUUUUCUGAUGGUGGCGCACGAUGAGCGAGAUGAGCACAACAAGGUGGUCAGGACCUGGGUGAAGCAGGUCCGCGACGUGUCCUACGACGUCGAGGAUGGCAUUCAGGACUUUGUCGUUCAUAUGAAGAAGCAGUCCUGGUGGCGCAUCCCUUGCACACUCCUCGACCGGCGCCAUGUUGCCAAGCAGAUGAAGGAGCUGAGGACCAAGGUCGAGGAUGUGAGCCAGAGGAACUUACGCUACCGCCUCAUCAAAGGUUCUAGCUCCACUGAGCCUUCUCCUGCUGCUGCUGCUACCAUGUUUGGUGUCGAUGAAGCAAGGCACACCGCGAAGCAACGCCAGGCAAGAUCAGAUCUUGCCCAAAUGAUCAACAGGGAGGGCGAUGACCAAAUUGGGGUGAUUGGCGUAUGGGGAACAAGUGGAAGUGUUGGGCAUACCUCCAUCAUCUGGGAGGCCUAUGAGAAUCCAAUCACCAAAUUGAAUUUUGCAUGCCGAGCGUGGGUCAGGGUGAUGCGCCCUUUCCAUCCAACAGAAUUCGUCCAGAGUAUGGUGAAACAGUUCCACGCAGCAGUAGGGGUUGGUGUUCUGCUAGAGGGGGAAAGGACGGCCCAAGAGUUGGCUCAGGAGUUCAGUGGGUAUGUCAAUGAGAAUAGGUUCUUGAUUGUGCUUACCGACCUGUCCACCAUUGAAGAAUGGCACCACAUAAAGGCUUGCUUUCCAGAAAACAAACUGGGGAGCUGUGUCAUAGUGUCCACGGAGCAAGUUGAAGUUGCAAGUUUAUGCGCAGGCCAAGCAAGUGUAGUGUUAGAGCUCAAGCAAUUGUCUGCUGUUCAGACCAUCUAUGCUUUCUACCAGCAGGGUCAUUUAGCUGGAAAAAAAAUCAGUAAAUGCAUGAAAAGAAUUUGUUUGCACAUAAAAUUUCUUCGCGUUUCAAAUGCCAAAACACAUAACUACCUUAACUAUUACAGACAUUCCCUCCUGGGUGUGAAACACAGAAGAAAGUGA
rnacentral:rRNA from 1 species